CAUGGGUAGCAAACAGGAUUUGGUACCCUGGUAGUCCAUGCUAUAAACAAUGAAUAUUAAAUGUUUAAUAUCAAAUUUAACAUAAAAAGUUAACACGUUAAAUAUUUCGCCUGGGGAGUAAAACCGCAAGGUUGAAACUCAAAGGAAUUGACGGGAGCUUAUACUUACGGUGGAGCAUGUGGUUUAAUCCGAUAGUCCGCGUGGAAUCUUACCAAUUUUUGACAGUCCUAAGUUAUACAUAGGAAACAGGUGUUGCAUGGCCGUCGUCAGCUUAUGUUUUGAAAUUUAAGAUAUAAGUACAACCCUUACUUUAAUUUACUAAUAUUCAAAAAAAUUAAAAAUAUUUAGUUAUAUUGAAUAAGUACUAUUAAAUUUGAAAUAUGUAAAUAUUUUAAAGGAUGAAGAUAGGUCGUUAUGACCCUUAUAAAUU
rnacentral:rRNA from 1 species